rnacentral:rRNA from 1 species
AUUGAACGCUGGCGGCAGGCCUAACACAUGCAAGUCGAACGAGUGGCGGACGGGUGAGUAAUGUCUGGGAAACUGCCUGAUGGAGGGGGAUAACUACUGGAAACGGUAGCUAAUACCGCAUACCAUCAGAUGUGCCCAGAUGGGAUUAGCUAUUUGGUGGGGUAAAGGCGCACCAAGACGACGAUCCCUAGCUGGUCUGAGAGGAUGACGAGCCAAACUGGAACGUAGAGAAGGUCCAGAAUACUACGGGAGGCAGCAGUGGAGAAUAUUGCACAAUGGGCGCAAGCCUGAUGCAGCCAUGCGGGGUGUAUGAAGAAGGACUUCGGGUUGUAAAGUACUUUCAGCGGGGAGGCGUUACCCGCAGAAGAAGCACCGGCUAACUCCGUGCCAGCAGCCGAGGUAAUUC